rnacentral:rRNA from 1 species
UGGAGAAUAUUGGACAAUGGGCGCAAGCCUGAUCCAGCCAUGCCGCGUGAGUGAUGAAGGCCCUAGGGUUGUAAAGCUCUUUCACCGGUGAAGAUAAUGACGGUAACCGGAGAAGAAGCCCCGGCUAACUUCGUGCCAGCAGCCGCGGUAAUACGAAGGGGGCUAGCGUUGUUCGGAUUUACUGGGCGUAAAGCGCACGUAGGCGGACUUUUAAGUCAGGGGUGAAAUCCCGGGGCUCAACCCCGGAACUGCCUUUGAUACUGGAAGUCUUGAGUAUGGUAGAGGUGAGUGGAAUUCCGAGUGUAGAGGUGAAAUUCGUAGAUAUUCGGAGGAACACCAGUGGCGAAGGCGGCUCACUGGACCAUUACUGACGCUGAGGUGCGAAAGCGUGGGGAGCAAACAGG